UCCAGGCGUGGUGGCGCACACCUGUAAUCCCAGCGGCUAGGGAGGCUGAGGCAGGAGGAUGGCAGGCUUGAGGCCAGCCUCAGCAAUUUAGCCAGACUCUAAGAAACCUAGCAAGACCCUGUCUCAA
rnacentral:sRNA from 1 species